UGGGGAAUAUUGCACAAUGGGCGCAAGCCUGAUGCAGCCAUGCCGCGUGUGUGAAGAAGGCCUUCGGGUUGUAAAGCACUUUCAGCGAGGAGGAAGGGUAGUGUGUUAAUAGCACAUUGCAUUGACGUUACUCGCAGAAGAAGCACCGGCUAACUCCGUGCCAGCAGCCGCGGUAAUACGGAGGGCGCAAGCGUUAAUCGGACUUACUGGGCGUAAAGCGCACGCAGGCGGUUUGUUAAGUCAGAUGUGAAAUCCCCGCGCUUAACGUGGGAACUGCAUUUGAAACUGGCAAGCUAGAGUCUUGUAGAGGGGGGUAGAAUUCCAGGUGUAGCGGUGAAAUGCGUAGAGAUCUGGAGGAAUACCGGUGGCGAAGGCGGCCCCCUGGACAAAGACUGACGCUCAGGUGCGAAAGCGUGGGGAGCAAACA
rnacentral:rRNA from 1 species